rnacentral:rRNA from 1 species
GCAUCAGUUGUACUGCCAAGUGCAAAGCUGAGUAGCUAAGUUUGGAAGGGAUAAGAGCUGAAGGCAUCUAAGCACGAAGCCCCCCUCAAGAUGAGAUUUCCCAUCGUAAGAAUAAGGCACCAGAAAGACAAUCUGGUAGAUAGGCCAAGAGUGUAAGGUCAGCAAUGAUCUAAGCUAAGUGGUACUAAUAUGCCGAAGACUUGACCUAA